rnacentral:tRNA from 1 species
UAAGAUGGCUGAUAUAAGUGAUGGUCUGUAGUUCCAUUUAUAAAGAUUAGAACCCUUUUCGUCC